UCGUCUUCUCCGGGCCCUCCUCCAUUUCCUUCUCCCCUUCUUCCCCUCUUCCUUCUUCCUACUUCUUCCCUCUUCUUUUCCUUCCCUUCUGUCCCCUCUCCCCCUACUUCCCCUUCCUCUUCCUCUUUCCCUUGCGUUAGGGUGACUCCUUGCUGGCCGCAAAGAAUUGCACAAAGAGUAGAGCAACAAGCAGGACAGAGUUCAUUCAUGCUCCAAGGUGGGAGAGGAGCCCGACAUUAAGAGAGAUGUCCUCCCAAAUUUCUGUCAAACUGGGCCUUUUAGGGGCUUUUGAGGACGUGAGAGGGUUGCAGCUGUGCCCUUGGGGGUGUGUGAGGAGGGUGUCGACGCUUGGACCCAUAGAGCAGAAGAGAGCACAAGCAAGGGGAGAGGCAGAGAGAGACAAGAAGCAGGCUCCCUGCAAAGCAGGGGAAGCCCAACAUGGGACUUGAUCCCAGGACCCCGGAAUCAUGACCUGAUUCAACCAAAGAGAGAGUAUAUGCAGGAAGAGGUGCAGAGGGAGAGGGAGGAACAGGCCCCCCACUGAGCUGGGAGCUCAUGCAGGGCUGGAUCCCAGGGCCCCGGGAUCAUGACCUGAGCUGAAGGAAGGCAGUUGCAGAACCACCUGAGUCACCCAGGCACCCUGAAGUGAGGAUUUUGAAGACCUUCUCUGCUCCUGCCCUUCGGAACUAUUUGUUACUUAAACUAUAACCCCUGGAGGAUUUUACUAGUUACCAAGCACAUUUAGAGACGGCCUUAAGAAAAACAUAGAUUGGCAGCAGGUCUUUGGGGAGAAAGACGAUACAUGACCGUGAAGCUGGGCAGCUGGGGAUGCUCGGCUGGUUCAGGGCGGAACGCCGCCCCUUCACAGAAGCCUGGCAGCGGGCAGCCCGGAACGCCGGUCAGCUCAGGGUGGAACGGAACACCGCCUGCUUCCCUUUCCCAUUAUCGCUCCUUUCUCUUCCCAGAAGCGCCCAUUGUUAGAUGAGUCCUUUGAAUGUGCUUGCUGAACUAUAAACUUUAUCCUACUUCUUGCUUGUCCACAAGACACGUGACUGAUGUUUGACCAUCAUCGGUCCUUCUGUUGGCUCUUGUUUCUAUCUAAUAAAAGUGAGACUGUGGAGUUGCUCGUGGCAGCAGUCUUUUCGACUGUUGUCCCCUGCUCCCCAAUCUCUUGCAGCUGA